CAACAGGGAUUCCCCUAGUAACGGCGAGUGAAGCGGGAACAGCUCAAAUUUGAAAUCUGGCCCUUGGGUCCGAGUUGUAAUUUGCAGAGGAUGCUUUUGGUGCGGUGCCUUCCGAGUUCCCUGGAACGGGACGCCUUAGAGGGUGAGAGCCCCGUACGGUUGGACACCAAGCCUAUGUAAAGCUCCUUCGACGAGUCGAGUAGUUUGGGAAUGCUGCUCAAAAUGGGAGGUAUAUUUCUUCUAAAGCUAAAUAUUGGCCAGAGACCGAUAGCGCACAAGUAGAGUGAUCGAAAGAUGAAAAGCACUUUGAAAAGAGGGUUAAAUAGCACGUGAAAUUGUUGAAAGGGAAGGAUUUAUGACCAGACUUUUUCUAGGGGGAUCAUCCGGUGUUCUCACUGGUGCACUUCCCCUAGUUGAGGCCAGCAUCGGUUUCUGUCGAGGGAUAAAAGCUUUAGGAAUGUGGCACCCUCCGGGGUGUGUUAUAGCCUUUUGCAUAAUACCUUGACGGGGACCGAGGUUCGCGCAUUGCAAGGAUGCUGGCGUAAUGGUUAUUAAUC
rnacentral:rRNA from 1 species